rnacentral:rRNA from 1 species
UACGGAGGGUGCAAACGUUGCUCGGAAUCAUUGGGCGUAAAGCGCGCGUAGGCGGUUACUUAAGUCGGAUGUGAAAGCCCUCGGCUUAACUGAGGAAGUGCACCCGAAACUGAGUAGCUAGAGUACGAAAGAGGGUCGCGGAAUUCCCGGUGUAGAGGUGAAAUUCGUAGAUAUCGGGAGGAACACCGGUGGCGAAGGCGGCGACCUGGGUCGAGACUGACGCUGAGGCGCGAAAGCGUGGGGAGCAAACAGG